UACGGAGGGUGCAAGCGUUAUCCGGAUUCACUGGGUUUAAAGGGUGCGUAGGUGGGGUGAUAAGUCAGUGGUGAAAUCCCCGAGCUUAACUUGGGAACUGCCAUUGAUACUAUCAGUCUUGAAUACCGUGGAGGUCAGCGGAAUAUGUCAUGUAGCGGUGAAAUGCUUAGAUAUGACAUAGAACACCAAUUGCGAAGGCAGCUGGCUACACGAAUAUUGACACUCAGGCACGAAAGCGUGGGGAUCAAACAGG
rnacentral:rRNA from 1 species